CAGUAAUCAGCACAAGUUAUAAUGUGGGCAACUUGGCAGUUGUUGCGCAGGCAGUGCAGCAUGUAGUCGCUCAUGUGUGCCAGGCUGCCCAGAGGCAAGGACAAGCUGUCCUCUGAGGGAGGUGUAUCGUCUGUGUCCUCCGUAUCUCGCCAGCCAUGCUCCAGUGAUGCCCACGAGCUGCGUUGGGUGCCACCCUGCUGUGAACACGGUUCCUCCUCCUC